CACAGAGCAUAGCAUGAAAGGUCAGUGUGAUUCCAAGACUCCCCAGUGCCUUUGUCUUUUCUCUCCUGACUCUAGCACCUUUUUUAUCUGGAACCUUUCCUCUGAUAUCAUCUUUAGAAGGUAGGGUGCAAAGAAAAUUAUUUUGUUUGCUCCAUUCUCCUCCCACAAGCAUCACAGUCAUUCUCCUGUAAGAAGAUGUAAGAGAAGUACCUUCAGGACUGCCUGAAUUGAUGGACUUGGGGAAAAAAUCAGGACCUGCUGUAAGGACAAGCUGCUGAUGGAGAAGAAGAAAAUCCCAGGAAAAGGAAAUGCAGCCCAACAGGAAUCCAGAAGGACAAGGGAAGGGCCUCAAGAGAUCCAAACUUACAAUUUAGUCUAAGUACCUAUAUCUACCCCAUGGUCACACAGCCAGCACCAUCAUCUCAUUCACAGCCACCAUCUUAGCCAUUGUCCCCAAAGCAUCUUGCACACCUUCAACCUGAUCUCAGCAUCCUGAAGAUACUAACAGUCUCCUUUUCUCUUCCACUGGUGGUCUUGUAUCCCUGCUACAGUACAGCUCUGACGCUAUAUGUCUCUAUCAACUCCCUUCUUUGAUUAGGGGCCUUACUUCCUCUUAGACUACUUGCUUCUCUCAGAUUUGCUUUUUCUUCUAACUAUGCCUGUGUCCUCUUGUCAUCCCUCAAGUCCUGGAAAUGGAGACCAAGUAUGAUUCAUCUGCAUCCUUAGAGCUCAGUACAAAGUCUGACAGAACAAGGGCUAAAUCUUGUGACUAAGUUGCAUCCUAGACAGUAGGUUAUCAGUAGAUGCCGAUUGAUUGGUUUUCAACUCUGUCAUUUAAUAAAGAUGUUUCUUGGAUUAGUUUACUGAUGUCUUCCAGGUUAAAAGAAAGAGAAAGACCAUGCUUCCUCCCAAUAUCUAAAUGGAGGGCAGAUAAUAAGUAUGGAACAGCAAGGUUUAUCAUAAGGCAAGUUGAUGUCCUUGAGGUACAGAUCCCAGUGAAUGCAAUGGAAAGAACUUUCAAAGAUAAAUAGUAAUAAUAAAUAAAUAAAUGUAAUAAAGAACUAACUGUGCAGUGUUGAAGGGGAGAGCAUACUUCAAGAAAAAUUGGUGCAGGAAAAUCAAUACCUAUGUAUACCUUGGUUAAGUUAUCAAACUCCAAGGAUAAAAAAAAAUUCAAGCAUUUAAGAAGAAAAAUUCUUCUCAGCAUUAUUCAAUGUCACAACAUGAUGGGACAAUGUCUCUGAAGUCAUUUAAGAUGAAACACAACAGGCAAUUGUUCUCAGACAUGAAGGAGCUCAGGCAGUAGAGCACCUGUGAGCUCUUCAUUAAAAACUUAUCACAGCCGGGUGCAAUGGUGCACACCUGUAAUCCCAGUGGCUAUGUAGGUUGAGACAGGAGGAUCCAGAGUUCAAAGCCAUCCUCAGCAACAGUGAGGCACUAAGCAACGCAUUGAGACCCUGUCUCUAAAUAAAAUACAAAAUAGGGCUGGGGAUGUGACUCCAUGGUUGAGUGACCCUGAGUUCAAUCCCCGGUACUCCACCCCACACACACACACACACACACAAAAAAAAAAAAACGACUACAGUGUUGAAGAGAUAGCAUGAAUGAGGCUAUGGGUUCAACCCCUAGUGCUGCAAACAAACCAAAACAAAACAAAAGCUCUGCUAUGUAGCCCAUAAUCUCAGUUAUUUGAGAGCUGAGGCAGGAAGAUCGCAAGUUUGAGGCCAGCCUGGGCAAUUUAGCAAGAUCCUGUCUAAAAAUAAAAAGGUUUGGGGAUGCAGCUCAGUGGUAGGGUACCCCUGGGUCCAAUCCUCAGUACUAAAAAAAGAAAGAAAAAGGACAAUGAUAAAACAGUAAACAAUCCACUUAAACAUGGAAUCCAGACUAAAGAACUCUGGGGCUUAUCACUACAGAAUAGAAAUUUAUGUUCUAAACUUUGACAAAGUAAAAUUAAUAAUACAAAUAACAAAUUUGCUCUGAAGAUCAAAGGGAAGUGAGAAGAAGUGUGCAAAAGUUAAUAUCCUAAAGUUAAUAUCCUCUAAAAUUAAAAUGAG
rnacentral:lncRNA from 1 species